CGCAGAGCUGUAGCGGACGCGGGGCUGUGACAGACGCGGGGCUAUAAUGGACGCGGGGGCCGUGAAAUUUGCGGGCCACAACAGCAGACGAUAGGGAAAAACGAUAGAAAUAGAGACGACGGGGUACCCGAGGAGGAUUUUGGGAUAGGCCACGCUGAAUGCGACGGUAGACGGGGGGAAAGACGGGAGACGUUGGGCUGGCGGACUCACAGAUUUCAUGACGAAAGUUGCGGUAGCGGAGCGCUCGUUUGUGGUGCAGGAAUGUACGAACUGAAUAAAAACGGGAGACUUCCAACUGGAUUCCGAUCACACGUCCAACUGGAUGAAAUCCAUGUAAUUUUCACGCCAAUUUUGCGCUGAUCGCUUUCACUGUGCCAACGGCUGCACUCCUUCCGCAACCAGCAAGAUCUGCAGCAAACACUUUCGUCCAGCGGAUAUCCCACGUUUCUGCACGCACGCUCAGUGUAAACUGAGAAAUAUUUUGUGCUGCCAUGCGGUUCUCGAUGCCGUUCUGGAUCCCAUGCGAUCGCAAACUGACAUGAAGCCACGCGUAAGCAGCCCCAAACUUGUUCCACCAAUUAAACAUCAUGAACUGCAUGGCCGGAAGUCAAAGUGAACCUGCAGUGGUGUUUUGAGGAAGUAUUCCGAUGAUUCUCAGCAGUAGCAACAUUAUUGUUUUUAAUAAUACUCGUAUUACAGUAUGUUAAUUUACUGGUAGCACGGGAAAGUUG